UGUAAGGAAAAAAAAACAGCUGGCUUUCAACACAGCCUACGGUAGUCGAUGCUCUCCCUCCAAUGCCACCACCACUCCUGAAACGCCUCCUCCCCCUUCCACCUCCUCCACUGCCACCCCACUCUCUACCACCUCCACCACCCAGCCACCACUCCCCCUAAUCUCCAGUUCUCCACCAUCAUUUCCCUCCUCACCUACAACCGUUCCAAAUCCCGCUGGUCCCGCCUCCGCUCUCUCCUCACCAACACCACCACACCCCUCACCCCUACUCGCUUCUCCCAAAUCACCCUCCAGUUAAAAUCAAAUCCCCAUCUUGCCCUCCGCUCCUACCGCUUCACUCUCCACAACUCCUCCCUUUGCACUCACAAUCUCCACUCCUAUGCCACCAUCAUUUAUAUCCUCUCUCUUGCCCACCUUAAGUCCAAGGGCCGGGACAUUAUUCGGUCCGGACUCCGGUCACUCGUUUUGUUAACUAAUGAUGAGGGUGCCUUUGCGGGGCAGACAGGACUAGACAGGAUGGAACUGAAUUGUACAGGAAAAAGGUUGUCGCAGGUACCAAACGCUAAAAGAAGUGAUUUUUUUAAAAACGCUUUUGUGAAAACUUAUAGAGAGUGUGAUUCAGCUCCAUUUGUGUUUGAUUUGUUGAUAAAUUUUGUUUAGAAUUGAAAAGGAUUGAUGGGUCUCUUGAGAUUGUGAGGAUGUUAAGGUCUAAAGGGAUCAGCCCAUCAAUUAGUACUUGUAAUACUUUGAUAUGUGAGGUUUCGAGGGGUAAAGGGUCAUUUGCUGGUUAUGGGGUUUUUAAGGAGGUUUUCGGAUUGGGAAGUUGUGAACUUGAGGGGAAAAUGAGAAGGGGUUUUAGAAAUACGCCUAAUGUACAUAGUUUUAAUGAAUCAGUGGUGGGUUUCUAUAAAGAUGGUGAAGUGCAGAUGGUUGAGGAGAUUUGGAGUGAAAUGGGCAGAUUUGGCUGUGUUGCAAAUGGGUUUAGCUUUGGUGUUUUUAAUGGCUUUUAUUUUUUUUGUGAGGGAGGGAGGUUGAGUGAAGCAGAGAAGUUAUGGGAGGAAAUGAGAGUGAAAGGAAUAGUGCCUGAUAUUGUUGCUUAUAAUACUAUUAUCGGGGGGUUUUGCAAGGUUGGAGAGGUUGAGAAAGCUGAGGGUCUUUUUAGAGAAAUGGGGUUGAGUGGAAUUGAGAGUACUUGUGUUACUUUUGAGCAUCUUAGUAAGGGGUAUUGUAGAAUUGGGGGUGUUGAUUCGGCUAUUCUUGUGUAUAAGAAUAUGUGUAGGAGAGGGCUUUGUUAGCAGAAAAGAGUUUUUGAAGCUUUGAAGAUUAUGAGGAAUGCAAUGAGAGAUCUUAGUUUGCAUUCGAGUGGGAAGAGUUAUGAGUUGUUGUUUAAGGGAUUUUGCGAGGAUGGGAAAUUGGAGGAAGCAUUGAAACUUCAAUCAGAGAUGGUGGGGAAAGGAUUUUAAUAAAAUUUAGCAAUUUAUGGUGCUUUUAUUGAAGGGUAUGCGAAGUUGGAAAAUGAGGACAUGGCAGCCGUGUUGAAGAAGGAAAUGUCUGUAGCUCAAAAGCAGCAGCAAGAGGAUUGAAUGUUAACAGUUGACUAGUUGUGAGCCUAUCCCUUGGGUUUUUGUGUUCACCUUCAAAAGUUUGAGAAAUUUGGUGCAUGUUCUGUAAGGAUCUUUGAAAGCUUUUAGCACCAUGGAUGUGCUGCCAGCCUCUGCAUUUUGCUAUCAGGCAAAUGAUAUUUGCUAAAAGGAUAGCUGGUGGUGUAUGAUCAUCAAGAACAUCUUGAUUCUUGACAGUUACAUUUUUUGUGUCUUUUACAAUCAAAGAAGUGCACCUGCUCCAUGGCGGUAUAGCUGUGUGGAACACGUAAACUGACAGUCAAGUAUGCAACAAAUGAACUCAGAAAGCAGCCUUGCCUGGUGGAUUCAAUGGUUGAGAUAGAUAAUGAUUGAUGAGAUCAAGACAACCAGGUAUUGAGUUUGUUUGCAUCAAGAUGAGCAGAUUCUGGUGCGUUGCAACCAAGGAAAUCUAUUUGUUUUGCUCCUUGUCGGAGCAAUGACUGCUUAAAAAAAGAACAUGCAGAAUAAUGAGACGUGAAGAAUUAGGUGUUGUCUGCCAACUUGGUGACUUUAAUCUUCUCCCUGUUGAUGCGAUGUCGUCUGUCCAUUGGUGAUAAAUGUGAACUACUAGGGAGUGGCACUUAAGAUUUGAUAGAACGAGUUUUAUGCUGGCCUUAAAGAUUAUCGAUCCAUAUCCUUCUGCAGGCCUGGAACAUAUUGUUGGAGAUAAUAUGUUUGCCGCAAAACUGUUGAGUGCUUUUAUGUUCAGAUUGGUGCUAAACCUAGUUGGCUAUAAGCUUAAGUUAGCUUCCCGAACAAAUUACUGUACUUUCUAAAGUUAUAUGCCUCGAGCAGCAAUAAAAUCGCUAGAUUUUUCUGGGGAAAAAAAA